rnacentral:piRNA from 1 species
UAGACAACAGGUGCUGGGCCUCUGAC